rnacentral:rRNA from 1 species
CUGACGAGUGGCGGACGGGUGAGUAAUGUCUGGGAAACUGCCCGGUGGAGGGGGAUAACUACUGGAAACGGUAGCUAAUACCGCAUAACGUCGCAAGACCAAAGAGGGGGACCUUCGGGCCUCUUGCCACCGGAUGUGCCCAGAUGGGAUUAGCUUGUUGGUGGGGUAACGGCUCACCAAGGCGACGAUCCCUAGCUGGUCUGAGAGGAUGACCAGCCACACUGGAACUGAGACACGGUCCAGACUCCUACGGGAGGCAGCAG